CUGUAGUCUGAGUUUCUGAUAAUCAAGGAUUUAAGUCCCCACAAUAAAUACACAUUUCUACAUACUGACUUCAUAGGACAUUUUUCCUUGUUAUCCAGUUUUAACUUUUCUAAAUAAUUUUCCCUUAGAGUUCACCGAACAGCAGAAAGAAUUUCAAGCUACUGCUCGUAAAUUUGCCAGAGAGGAAAUCAUCCCAGUGGCUGCAGAAUAUGAUAAAACUGGUGAAUAUCCAGUCCCCCUAAUUAGAAGAGCCUGGGAACUUGGUUUAAUGAACACACACAUUCCAGAGAACUGUGCAAAUGCCUAUUAUUAUUGCUGGAAAUGAUCAACAAAAGAAGAAGUAUUUGGGGAGAAUGACUGAGGAGCCAUUGAUGUGUGCUUAUUGUGUAACAGAACCUGGAGCAGGCUCUGAUGUAGCUGGUAUAAAGACCAAAGCAGAAAAGAAAGGAGAUGAGUAUAUUAUUAAUGGUCAGAAGAUGUGGAUAACCAACGGAGGAAAAGCUAAUUGGUAUUUUUUAUUGGCACGUUCUGAUCCAGAUCCUAAAGCUCCUGCUAAUAAAGCCUUUACUGGAUUCAUUGUGGAAGCAGAUACCCCAGGAAUUCAGAUUGGGAGAAAGGAAUUAAACAUGGGCCAGCGAUGUUCAGAUACUAGAGGAAUUGUCUUCGAAGAUGUGAAAGUGCCUAGAGAAAAUGUUUUAAUUGGUGACGGAGCUGGUUUCAAAGUUGCAAUGGGAGCUUUUGAUAAAACCAGACCUGUAGUAGCUGCUGGUGCUGUUGGAUUAGCACAAAGAGCUUUGGAUGAAGCUACCAAGUAUGCCCUGGAAAGGAAAACUUUCGGAAAGCUACUUGUAGAGCACCAAGCAAUAUCAUUUAUGCUGGCUGAAAUGGCAAUGAAAGUUGAACUAGCUAGAAUGAGUUACCAGAGAGCAGCUUGGGAGGUUGAUUCUGGUCGUCGAAAUACCUAUUAUGCUUCUAUUGCAAAGGCAUUUGCUGGAGAUAUUGCAAAUCAGUUAGCUACUGAUGCUGUGCAGAUACUUGGAGGCAAUGGAUUUAAUACAGAAUAUCCUGUAGAAAAACUAAUGAGGGAUGCCAAAAUCUAUCAGAUUUAUGAAGGUACUUCACAAAUUCAAAGACUUAUUGUAGCCCGUGAACACAUUGACAAGUACAAAAAUUAAAAAAAUUACUGUAGAAAUAUUGAAUAACUAGAACACAAGCCACUGUUUCAGCUCCAGAAAAAAGAAAGGGCUUUAACGUUUUUUCCAGUGAAAACAAAUCCUCUUAUAUUAAAUCUAAGCAACUGCUUAUUAUAGUAGUUUAUACUUUUGCUUAACUCUGUUAUGUCUCUUAAGCAGGUUUG
rnacentral:sRNA from 1 species